CCAGUACCAUGGACAGCCCAUCU
rnacentral:piRNA from 1 species